AAUUUGGCGGAAAGCCUAAACAUGCAAGUCGAGCGGAAACGAGUUAACUGACCCUUCGGGUGACGUUAACGGCGUCGAGCGGCGGACGGGUGAGUAAUGCCUGGGAAAUUGCCCUGAUGUGGGGGAUAACCAUUGGAAACGAUGGCUAAUACCGCAUAAUGCCUUCGGGCCAAAGAGGGGGACCUUCGGGCCUCUCGCGUCAGGAUAUGCCCAGGUGGGAUUAGCUAGUUGGUGAGGUAAUGGCUCACCAAGGCGACGAUCCCUAGCUGGUCUGAGAGGAUGAUCAGCCACACUGGAACUGAGACACGGUCCAGACUCCUACGGGAGGCAGCAGUGGGGAAUAUUGCACAAUGGGCGCAAGCCUGAUGCAGCCAUGCCGCGUGUGUGAAGAAGGCCUUCGGGUUGUAAAGCACUUUCAGCAGUGAGGAAGGCGGGUACGUUAAUAGCGUGCUCGUUUGACGUUAGCUGCAGAAGAAGCACCGGCUAACUCCGUGCCAGCAGCCGCGGUAAUACGGAGGGUGCGAGCGUUAAUCGGAAUUACUGGGCGUAAAGCGCAUGCAGGUGGUUCGUUUAAGUCAGAUGUGAAAGCCCGGGGCUCAACCUCGGAACUGCAUUUGAAACUGGCGGACUAGAGUACUGUAGAGGGGGGGUAGAAUUUCAGGUGUAGCGGGUGAAAUGCGUAGAGAUCUGGAAAGAAAUACCGGUGGGCGAAGGGCGGGCCCCCUGGACAGAUUACUGACACUCAGAUUGCGAAAAGCGUGAGGGAGCAAACAGGGAUUUAAAAUACCCCUGGGUAAUUCCACGCCGUUAAACGAUUGUCCUACUUUGGGAGGUUGGUGGGCCUUUGAGUCCGUGGUCUUUUCGGAAACUUAUCCGCGUUUUAAU
rnacentral:rRNA from 1 species